GGCCCAUUAGCUUAGUGGUAGAGCAUCUCCCUCCUAAGGAGAAGGUCGCGCGUUCGAGCCGCGUGUGGGUCG
rfam:Aspergillus terreus NIH2624 scaffold_6 genomic scaffold, whole genome shotgun sequence.